UGAUCCAGGGAAGCACGAUUGGCGGAACGACUCCAGAUUCACUGACAGCAUCAUCACCUGCACUCACAGUCCAUACAGUACCAACUCAGGGACACUGAAUGGCCAGGAAGAGCCUAGUUGGGAAACUACCCAGGAGCUGGAGUCCUCCAGUCCAUCCGCCGAGCUCUUUCCUGAAGACAGUCCUUGGCUGGCACAGUACUCUACCCCGCCACACACAGUCCUGUAUUCUCAAGUCAUCACAGUGGAGUCGCGCUCCUCUGCCUGCGUAUCCCCAGAACCAGCCCAGCCUUGGCUGAGCCUCAGCCCCUCGCUUUUCACCUCACCCAGCAGACACAUGCCGUGCGCCACACUGGAUCAACAUGGAACCCUCAUGAGUGUGCUGAAUGAGGAUUCACUCCAAGCUGAGGGUGACAUCUCCUGGAUGGUUAAGAAAAAUAACAACAUACCACCUCCGCUUCAUGAACUGCAA